rnacentral:rRNA from 1 species
GAUGAACGCUGGCGGCGUGCUUAACACAUGCAAGUCGAGCGAGUGAGUUCUUCGGAACGAUCUAGCGGCGGACGGGUGAGUAACACGUGGGCAACCUGCCUCAUAGGGGGGAAUAGCCUCCCGAAAGGGAGAUUAAUACCGCAUAACAUCGUUGAAGAGCAUCCUUCGAUGCUCAAAGGAGCAAUCCGCUAUGAGAUGGGCCCGCGGCGCAUUAGCUAGUUGGUGAGGUAACGGCUCACCAAGGCGACGAUGCGUAGCCGACCUGAGAGGGUGAUCGGCCACAUUGGGACUGAGACACGGCCCAGACUCCUACGGGAGGCAGCAGUGGGGAAUAUUGCACAAUGGGGGAAACCCUGAUGCAGCAACGCCGCGUGAGUGAUGACGGCCUUCGGGUUGUAAAGCUCUGUCUUUGGGGACGAUAAUGACGGUACCCAAGGAGGAAGUCACGGCUAACUACGUGCCAGCAGCCGCGGUAA